CGUCACGUGGGCAGUUUCGCUCUGCCACGCAUUCCUGCCCCACGCUCCCCUGCCGCAGGCCAGUGCCCUGGGACCAAAUUCGCCACCAGGAGCUCCAACACUAUGUUUUCUUCUCUUGCUCUGGAAUUUUAAUCGGGCCACCCUAAUAAUCAUGACGCCAAUGAAACUACACAGAUGGAGGCGUGCCUGAGGUCAGGCAACUUGCGCGGGGUCACAGUCAUCUCUGCCAUCCUGGGAGUUCUAGGAAGCAUGUCAGGGGUAAGGUCUUGAGCAUCCCAUGCAGACAGGCCUGGAGCAGUCCUGCAUUCGCUGAUGCCUGGACCAGCUUGGACCCUCAAGGGUGUGUGCUUGCAUCUUCUUACCUUCAGUACCUGCGUUUGUACCCUCCUCUUUCUCUGGGAAGAGAGUGUGAGGCUUGUGCACACAUGUGUGGGACACGGGGACACAUGGACAUCAGACACUCAGAGGCUGCUAGGUCCCAGGCCUGUCCUUGUGUGUUGCCAGCCACACCCGACAGGGUCUCUUUGAGGACAGAUCCAUGUCCCCCUCAGCCUGGGGGCUGCACCACCUCCACCCAUCUUCUUCAGAGGCUCUGGUCUUAGUGUGGGUGCCUGGCCGUGGGCCCAGAAAACUCUCCUGGUUUCUUUACAGGGGCGGGAAGAGCAGCCUCCCAUGUACAAGU
ensembl:lncRNA